UGAAACUCUUCCCGCAUGCAGUGCAGUGAUAUGGUUUCUCUCCAGUGUGGAUCCUCUCAUGUUUUUUCAAGGAUCCUAACUGACUGAAUGUCUUGUCACAGUGUGAACACUUGUAAGGUUUCUCUCCAUGUGGAUCCUCUCAUGUUUUUUCAAGGAUCCUAACUGACUGAAUGUCUUGUCACAGU